rnacentral:rRNA from 1 species
GUGUCAGCAGCCGCGGUAAGACGAGCCACCCGAACGUUAUUCGGAAUUACUGGGCUUAAAGGGUGCGUAGGCGGUGUAGCAAGUCGGGAGUGAAAUACCCCAGCUUAACUGAGGAAUUGCUUUCGAUACUGCUGCGCUUGAGUGAGACAGAGGUAAGCGGAACUUAGGGUGGAGCGGUGAAAUGCGUUGAUAUCCUAAGGAACACCGGUGGCGAAGGCGGCUUACUGGGUCUCAACUGACGCUGAGGCACGAAAGCCAGGGUAGCAAACGGGAUUAGAAACCCUCGUAGUCC